GUGAUCUAGCCAUGGGCAGGUUGAAGGUUGGGUAACACUAACUGGAGGACCGAACCGACUAAUGUUGAAAAAUUAGCGGAUGACUUGUGGCUGGGGGUGAAAGGCCAAUCAAACCGGGAGAUAGCUGGUUCUCCCCGAAAGCUAUUUAGGUAGCGCCUCGUGAAUUCAUCUCCGGGGGUAGAGCACUGUUUCGGCAAGGGGGUCAUCCCGACUUACCAACCCGAUGCAAACUGCGAAUACCGGAGAAUGUUAUCACGGGAGACACACGGCGGGUGCUAACGUCCGUCGUGAAGAGGGAAACAACCCAGACCGCCAGCUAAGGUCCCAAAGUCAUGGUUAAGUGGGAAACGAUGUGGGAAGGCCCAGACAGCCAGGAUGUUGGCUUAGAAGCAGCCAUCAUUUAAAGAAAGCGUAAUAGCUCACUGGUCGAGUCGGCCUGCGCGGAAGAUGUAACGGGGCUAAACCAUGCACCGAAGCUGCGGCAGCGACGCUUAUGCGUUGUUGGGUAGGGGAGCGUUCUGUAAGCCUGCGAAGGUGUGCUGUGAGGCAUGCUGGAGGUAUCAGAAGUGCGAAUGCUGACAUAAGUAACGAUAAAGCGGGUGAAAAGCCCGCUCGCCGGAAGACCAAGGGUUCCUGUCCAACGUUAAUCGGGGCAGGGUGAGUCGACCCCUAAGGCGAGGCCGAAAGG
rnacentral:rRNA from 1 species